rnacentral:lncRNA from 1 species
UGUUAAGGAGGCCACUGGAAAAGCCAGACACCCAGGGAAGAGCUCAGGGCUGACAGCCUGAGAGCUGGUCAUUCUGGGAAACCAGAGGCCUUGGCAGUCCCCAUCUGGCAUCUAAAACCUGGAAGGCUCCAGGAGAGUUCUGGAUCUUCAGCCCACCUUGGAAGCCUAAAGAAGCUGGAGUCUGAUGCCACCAGGGGUUGGAGGCAGCAGCAGGAGAGAGAUGCACUUAAGAGGUGAAGGCUGCAGGCUGGCCACACUGCAUAUACCAUGGAGGUCAGCACUGGGAUGCACUGCCCACACGGGAAGAGUCUCCCUGCCUCAGAGACAGACAGGACUUUCAGACCCUGUGGGGAAGCUGACUUUAUUUGGAAGCUCUGUGGAGUUGUCUAAAUCAACGCUGGGAGGAAUUGAACACAGUUACUCUGUGCUCACAGACUGUGUCUUUAACAAUAUCUACAGGAUGCUUUUGAGUCCCAUAGAAGGGGACGAGCUUGGAGCUGAGCUGACACAGACACAGGAGUCAAAGCUGGAGGGUUGA